CCCAGAACUAAAAAGCCAAGUAAUAGCGAAGUUUUUGCAGCAUGGGAUCCUCCAUUCUGCAAGGCUUCUUCGUGUCAAGAACUCCCCUCUCAACAUCCUUAUGGUUCAACAGGAAAACUAGAGGCCUGGGCCUCCCCCUUCUGUCCUCACUCAGACCAGCAACCCUAACAAGAGCAGAGAGAUUCCCAGUUUUCCUGUAACAGUUGUGGAGGACACUUUGCUCAUAGCAUGGUGAUGAUGCACAAACACUAGCCUCGGACUCCUGACGAGAAGAAGUAUGGGAUCAUUUGUACAUCAGGGCACCAGAGCCAGGCCUGACAGAGCAGUAGCCUCGCCAGGCUGACUGAAUGGCUACAGCAGACUUCCUCUGCUUCAGAAACUGCUUCCUAAGCAGACAGACAGG